AGUCGAGCGAGAAAACUAAUUGAGUCUUCGGACAAGAGAAGUUUUGGAAAGCGGCGGACGGGUGAGUAACGCGUGGGUAACCUGCCCUAUGGAGGGGGAUAACGCAAAGAAAUUUGCGCUAAUACCGCAUAAGCACACAGGAUCACAUGAUCUAGGGUGAAAACUCCGGUGCCAUAGGAUGGACCCGCGUAAGAUUAGCUAGUUGGUGAGGUAAUGGCUCACCAAGGCAACGAUCUUUAGCCGACCUGAGAGGGUGAUCGGCCACAUUGGGACUGAGACACGGCCCAAACUCCUACGGGAGGCAGCAGUGGGGGAUAUUGCACAAUGGGCGAAAGCCUGAUGCAGCAACGCCGCGUGAAGGAAGACGGUUUUUCGGAUUGUAAACUUCUAUCAGCAGGGAAGAAAAUAGACUGUACCUGACUAAGAAGCCCGGCUAACUACGUG
rnacentral:rRNA from 1 species